UACGUAGGGGGCAAGCGUUGUCCGGAUUCAUUGGGCGUAAAGAGCGUGUAGGCGGCCAGGUAGGUCGGUUGUGAAAACUGGAGGCUCAACCUUCAGACGUCGACCGAAACCAUCUGGCUAGAGUCCGGGAGAGGAGAGUGGAAUUCCUGGUGUAGCGGUGAAAUGCGUAGAUAUCUGGAGGAACACCGGUGGCGAAGGCGGCAUCCUGGACCGAGAUUGACGCUGAUGCGCGAAAGCCAGGGGAGCGAAUGGG
rnacentral:rRNA from 1 species